UGACGCAGCAACGCCGCGUGAAGGAUGAAGGUCUUCGGAUUGUAAACUUCUUUUAUUAAGGACGAAGAAUGACGGUACUUAAUGAAUAAGCUCCGGCUAACUACGUGCCAGCAGCCGCGGUAAUACGUAGGGAGCAAGCGUUGUCCGGAUUUACUGGGUGUAAAGGGUGCGUAGGCGGCAAAGCAAGUCAGAUGUGAAAUGUAUGGGCUCAACCCAUGAACUGCAUUUGAAACUGCAUUGCUUGAGUGAAGUAGAGGCAGGCGGAAUUCCCUGUGUAGCGGUGAAAUGCGUAGAGAUAGGGAGGAACACCAGUGGCGAAGGCGGCCUGCUGGGCUUUAACUGACGCUGAGGCACGAAAGCGUGGGUAGCAAACAGGAUUAGAUACCCUGGUAGUCCACGCUGUAAACGAUGAUUACUAGGUGUGGGGGGUCUGACCCCUUCCGUGCCGCAGUUAACACAAUAAGUAAUCCACCCGGGGAGUACGGCCGCAAGGUUGAAACUCAAAGGAAUUGACGGGGGCCCGCACAAGCAGUGGAGUAUGUGGUUUAAUUCGAAGCAACGCGAAGAACCUUACCAGGUCUUGACAUCGAGUGACGUACUUAGAGAUAAGUAUUUCCUUCGGGACACGAAGACAGGUGGUGCAUGGUUGUCGUCAGCUCGUGUCGUGAGAUGUUGGGUUAAGUCCCGCAACGAGCGCAACCCUUGCUAUUAGUUGCUACGCAAGAGCACUCUAAUAGGACUGCCGUUGACAAAACGGAGGAAGGUGGGGACGACGUCAAAUCAUCAUGCCCCUUAUGACCUGGGCUACACACGUACUACAAUGGCCGUCAACAGAGGGAAGCAAGAUAGUGAUAUGGAGCAAACCCCUAAAAACGGUCUCAGUUCAGAUUGCAGGCUGCAACCCGCCUGCAUGAAGAUGAAUUGCUAGUAAU
rnacentral:rRNA from 1 species